rnacentral:rRNA from 1 species
GCCGCGGUAAUACGGAGGGUGCAAGCGUUAAUCGGAAUUACUGGGCGUAAAGCGCACGCAGGCGGUCUGUCAAGUCGGAUGUGAAAUCCCCGGGCUCAACCUGGGAACUGCAUUCGAAACUGGCAGGCUUGAGUCUUGUAGAGGGGGGUAGAAUUCCAGGUGUAGCGGUGAAAUGCGUAGAGAUCUGGAGGAAUACCGGUGGCGAAGGCGGCCCCCUGGACAAAGACUGACGCUCAGGUGCGAAAGCGUGGGGAGCAAACAGGAUUAGAUACCCUGGUAGUCCACGCCGUAAACGAUGUCUACUUGGAGGUUGUGCCCUUGAGGCGUGGCUUCCGGAGCUAACGCGUUAAGUAGACCGCCUGGGGAGUACGGCCGCAAGGUUAAAACUCAAAUGAAUUGACGGGGGCCCGCACAAGCGGUGGAGCAUGUGGUUUAAUUCGAUGCAACGCGAAGAACCUUACCUGGUCUUGACAUCCACAGAACUUUCCA